UGGGGAAUUUUGGACAAUGGGCGAAAGCCUGAUCCAGCAAUGCCGCGUGUGUGAAGAAGGCCUUCGGGUUGUAAAGCACUUUUGUCCGGAAAGAAAUCCUUGGCUCUAAUACAGUCGGGGGAUGACGGUACCGGAAGAAUAAGCACCGGCUAACUACGUGCCAGCAGCCGCGGUAAUACGUAGGGUGCAAGCGUUAAUCGGAAUUACUGGGCGUAAAGCGUGCGCAGGCGGUUUGCUAAGACCGAUGUGAAAUCCCCGGGCUCAACCUGGGAACUGCAUUGGUGACUGGGCAGGCUAGAGUAUGGCAGGAGGGGGGUAGAAUUCCACGUGUGANCAGUGAAAUGCGUAGAGAUGUGGAGGAAUACCGAUGGCGAAGGCAGCCCCCUGGCCAAUACUGACGCUCAUGCACGAAAAGCGUGGGGAGCAAACAGGAUUAGAUAACCCUGGUAGUCCACGCCCUAAAACGAUGUCAACUAGUUGUUGGGGAUUCAUUCCUUAGUAACGUAGCUAACGCGUGAAGUUGACCGCCU
rnacentral:rRNA from 1 species